CGGUUAGCUCAGUCGGUUCAGAGCACCUGCCUUACAAGCAGGGGGUCACUGGUUCGAAUCCAGUACCG
rnacentral:tRNA from 1 species